CCUACGGGUGGCAGCAGUGGGGAAUAUUGCACAAUGGGCGAAAGCCUGAUGCAGCGACGCCGCGUGAGUGAAGAAGGAUUUCGGGAUGUAAAGCUCUAUCAGCAGGGAAGAAAAUGACGGUACCUGAAGAAGAAGCCCCGGCUAACGACGGGCCAGCAGCCGCGGAAAUACGUAGGGGGCAAGCGUUAACCGGAUUUACUGGGUGUAAAGGGAGCGUAGACGGCGAAGCAAGUCUGAAGUGAAAACCCAGGGCUCAACCCUUGGACUGCUUUGGAAACUGUUUUGCUAGAGUGUCGGAGAGGUAAGUGGAAUUCCUAGUGUAGCGGUGAAAUGCGUAGAUAUUAGGAGGAACACCAGUGGCGAAGGCGGCUUACUGGACGAUAACUGACGUUGCGGCUCGACAGCGUGGGGAGCAAACAGGAUUAGAUACCCGGGUAGUC
rnacentral:rRNA from 1 species